rnacentral:lncRNA from 1 species
GCUCUUGCAAAAACCCUAAACUCCUAAAAUUGAUCAAAAUCAAGAGAAAUCAAGCAUAGAGAUUUGCGGCUUUAGCUAAAAUCGUGAUCACCUAGCUUAGGGGAUCACAAGGUAUGUCAAAUUUCGCAAGGUGGGUGAAUCUUCAAGCGGUCAAGUCAGAGCGGACGUGCGCUUGAAGGAUAAGCUUUGAAAGGUAAAUAUUAUAGGCCUCUGGAUGCAGAUCAAGCAACGAACGAGAACCGAACACACGUCUAAAUGAAGCUUCCGCGUUGAAUCUUGUUUUGUUUUGUUAAAAAGUGAAUUAUGUAAACACUUAUAACUAUGUUUUAGAAUGUUUUAAACAUGUGUGAAAACUUUUGAUGUAAAAGUUUCUAGUAGUG